rnacentral:rRNA from 1 species
UACGAAGGGGGCUAGCGUUGUUCGGAUUUACUGGGCGUAAAGCGCACGUAGGCGGAUCUUUAAGUCAGAGGUGAAAUCCCAAGGCUCAACCUUGGAACUGCCUUUGGAUACUGGGGAUCUCGAGUCCGGGAGAGGUGAGUGGAACUGCGAGUGUAGAGGUGAAAUUCGUAGAUAUUCGGAAGAACACCAGUGGCGAAGGCGACUCACUGGACAUGUAUUGACGCUGAGGUGCGAAAGCGUGGGGAGCAAACAGG